GGACCCGCACAAGCGGUGGAGCAUGUGGUUUAAUUCGAUGCAACGCGAAGAACCUUACCUGGUCUUGACAUCCUGCGAACUUUCUAGAGAUAGAUUGGUGCCUUCGGGAACGCAGUGACAGGUGCUGCAUGGCUGUCGUCAGCUCGUGUCGUGAGAUGUUGGGUUAAGUCCCGUAACGAGCGCAACCCUUGUCCUUAUUUGCCAUCAUUUAGUUGGGCACUCUAGGGAGACUGCCGGUGACAAACCGGAGGAAGUGGGGACGACGUCAAGUCAUCAUGGCCCUUACGUCCUGGGCUACACACGUGCUACAAUGGUACAGACAGAGGGCAGCCACCUGGCGACAGGGAGCGAA
rnacentral:rRNA from 1 species